rnacentral:lncRNA from 1 species
UAAAAGUUUUAAAGAGACAAUCCAGACUCUUCAUCCUCAUCAAGACCAGAAGUGUAGAUAGUAUAGAGAGCCCAAAUCAAACCAAAGACACCAAAAAGGAUCCAACCAAGAAGGUUGUUGCUGAGCCCAAAUGGAAGUCCAGUUCCUUCGGUGCUCAUUCUCUCAUCCACAAGAGCCAUUGCUGUUGGAUUUGAGAUGCUUGCUGCUACUGCUGCUGCCAUCAGUGAUUCUCCUAUUCCCAAGUUUGAUUCCCCUUUUGGCUUUCCCUCCAUUGAGCAUCUCACCUUUCCAACCUUGCCAAAUGAUGGCAAUCCAACAACAGAUGAGGGACGAGAUACAGAUCCCUUUUGCACGAGGGACACAAUUGCCACCGAAGAGGUUGCAGAGAUGGUUG